rnacentral:rRNA from 1 species
UCGAACGGAAAGGCCCUUUCGGGGGUACUCGAGUGGCGAACGGGUGAGUAACACGUGGGUAACCUGCCCCGGGCUCUGGGAUAACCGUUGGAAACGACGGCUAAUACCGGAUAUGACCGCUUCCCGCAUGGGAUGGUGGUGGAAAGCUUUUGUGGCUCGGGUGGGGCUCGCGGCCUAUCAGCUGGUUGGUGGGGUGAUGGCCUACCAAGGCGGUGACGGGUAGCCGGCCUGAGAGGGCGGUCGGUCACAUUGGGACUGAGAUACGGCCCAGACUCCUACGGGAGGCAGCAGUGGGGAAUUUUGCACAAUGGGCGGAAGCCUGAUGCAGCGACGCCGCGUGAGGGAUGACGGCUUUCGGGUUGUAAACCUCUUUUACUCUUGGCGAAGGCCGGUGUUUUCACUGGUUGACGGUAGGGGGUGAAUAAGCGCCGGCUAACUACGUGCCAGCAGCCGCGGUAAGACGUAGGGCGCGAGCGUUGUCCGGAUUUAUUGGGCGUAAAGGGCUCGUAGGCGGCUCGUCGCGUCUGCCGUGCAAGGUCCCGGCUUAACCGGGGAUUUGCGGUGGAUACGG